rnacentral:rRNA from 1 species
ACCCGCUGAACUUAAGCAUAUCAAUAAGCGGAGGAAAAGAAACUAACAAGGAUUCCCCUAGUAACUGCGAGUGAAGCGGGAAGAGCUCAAAUUUUGAAUCUGGCGGUCUCCGGCCGUCCGAGUUGUAAUCUAGAGAAGUGUUUUCCACGCUGGACCGUGUACAAGUCUCCUGGAAGGGAGCAUCAUAGAGGGUGAUAAUCCCGUCUCUGACACGGACUACCGGGGCUAUGUGAUGCGCUCUCAACGAGUCGAGUUGUUUGGGAAUGCAGCUCAAAUUGGGUGGUAAACUCCAUCUAAAGCUAAAUACAGGCGAGAGACCGAUAGCGAACAAGUACCGUGAGGGAAAGAUGAAAAGAACUUUGGAAAGAGAGUUAAACAGUACGUGAAAUUGCUGGAAGGGAAACACUUGAAGUCAGUCGCGUCGGCCGGGGAUCAACCCUGCUUCUUGCUGGGCGUAUUUCCUGGUUGACGGGUCAACAUCGAUUUUGAUCAUUGUAGAAGGACGGUAGCGAAUGUGGCACUCUUAGGAGUGUGUUAUAGCCUUCCGUAUGCUAUAUGAUGGUUGGGAUCGAGGAACUCGGCAUGACCCCUCCGAGGGUUCGGGGCUAUUUUGCCUACGUAGCAUGCCUAGGAUGUUGGCAUAAUGUCUUUAAGUGACCCGUCUUGAAACACGG